rnacentral:rRNA from 1 species
GGGUGAGUAACACGUGGGCAAUCUGCCCUGCACUCUGGGACAAGCCCUGGAAACGGGGUCUAAUACCGGAUACUGAUCAUCUUGGGCAUCCUUGGUGAUCGAAAGCUCCGGCGGUGCAGGAUGAGCCCGCGGCCUAUCAGCUUGUUGGUGAGGUAAUGGCUCACCAAGGCGACGACGGGUAGCCGGCCUGAGAGGGCGACCGGCCACACUGGGACUGAGACACGGCCCAGACUCCUACGGGAGGCAGCAGUGGGGAAUAUUGCACAAUGGGCGAAAGCCUGAUGCAGCGACGCCGCGUGAGGGAUGACGGCCUUCGGGUUGUAAACCUCUUUCAGCAGGGAAGAAGCGAAAGUGACGGUACCUGCAGAAGAAGCGCCGGCUAACUACGUGCCAGCAGCCGCGGUAAUACGUAGGGCGCGAGCGUUGUCCGGAAUUAUUGGGCGUAAAGAGCUCGUAGGCGGCUUGUCGCGUCGGUUGUGAAAGCCCGGGGCUUAACCCCGGGUCUGCAGUCGAUACGGGCAGGCUAGAGUUCGGUAGGGGAGAUCGGAAUUCCUGGUGUAGCGGUGAAAUGCGCAGAUAUCAGGAGGAACACCGGUGGCGAAGGCGGAUCUCUGGGCCGAUACUGACGCUGAGGAGCGAAAGCGUGGGGAGCGAACAGGGAUUAGAUACGCCUGGUAGUCCACGCCGUAAACGGUGGGCACUAGGUGUGGGCGACAUUCCACGUCGUCCGUGCCCGCAGCUAACGCAUUAAGUGCCCCGCCUGGGGGGUACGGCCCGCAA